GUUGGUAAAUUCGUCAUUUUGACAGCCCUAGAUAGCCAUCUUGUAAAGGCCGUAUCUCAUUCGUUAUUAGGAAUUAGACAACGAGCCUUAUAUCGUUGGAAAGCUUGUUUCGCAUGUUACAAUUCUUAUUUGGUCACAAGAAGCUGGUUACGAGAUUUAGUGGGUCAAAACAGCAUGAAAAGUUAGUAAAUUCGUCAUUUUGACAGCCCUAGAUAGCCAUCUUGUAAAGGUCGUAUCUCAUUCGUUAUUAGGAAUUAGACAACGAGCCUUAUAUCGUUGGAAAGCUUGUUUCGCAUGUUAAAAUUCUUAUUUGGUCACAAGAUGCUGGUUACGAGAUUUAGUGGGUCAAAACAGCAUGAAAAGUUAGUAAAUUCGUCAUUUUGACAGCCCUAGAUAGCCAUCUUGUAAAGGUCGUAUCUCAUUCGUUAUUAGGAAUUAGACAACGAGCCUUAUAUCGUUGGAAAGCUUGUUUCGCAUAUUACAAUUCUUAUUUGAAAGUCUAAGUCGGAUUAGGUGAUUAAAAAGGGGGAAAAUGACCCCGAACAGCUGCUGCGUGAAAAAAAAAAUGCGGCAAUGAAAAUAAUGUGUUUUGUGAACUUAAAACAUAUGAUUUUCUAGUCACCAAUUUACUAAACACUAAAUAUUGCUUCGGGUAAAUGUUACAGUUGUUAAGGUGUGUUUAAAGCGUUACUAUGUGUAAAAUUGGCAUUAAUGUACAGCAUGGUUAGCCUCUCGGAUAUGAUUGUAAUAGUAGAGAAGUCAGGCGUAUUGUAGUAGAUAAUCUAUGUGUCGCGUAUGAUGAUAAUUGAGUUGCUUGAACAAGGAACAAGGUGACUUUUAGUCUAUAUGCCUUAUGUAUGUGGUAUUUGGUUAAUAAAAAGUCAAGUAAUGUAUGAAUGGAAAGAAACGAAUGUAGUAUGAAUGAGCAUGUGUGCUAACCAUAAUGUAAUUGUGAUGACAUGAAAGAAUAGGAAUCACAUUAGCAAGGACUCGAAAACGGAAGGUUAACGGGUCAAGCAGAGGCGAGGAAACAAGCGUGAACACUAACGCUCGAGGUAAGUGACUUUCGAUUCACUUCUUAGUAUACAUAUAGAGUUUUCUUGUUAUGGUUGAAUGGGAUGAUUGAUGUAUAUAAAAUGGCCGACAAGUAGGUAUGUAUGAAUGCAUUUAGGAAAAUUACGUAAGUACAUGCACGUGUGAGCUAAGGUAUGCACGGGUGUAGUUAUGAUUCAUUUUAUGAAUGUAUGUAAGUAUGGAGUUAUGUAUGCAUGUAUGUAUAUAUGUAGGUAUUGGUGUAUGUAUGUACGUAAGUAGUUAUGUAUGAGCAUGAGCAUUAUGUAUUUGAAUAUGAAAGUACAUACGUGUGUAGGUACGAACGUAUAUAUAUAUGUGGAUGCAAGUAAGUAUGUAUGUAUGUAUGUAUGUAUGUAUGUGAGUAGGUAUGUGUGUAUGUAGUUAUGUAUGUAUGUAUGUAAAUACAUAUGCGAAGAUGUAAUCAUGUAUGUAUGUAAUUAGAUGCGUGGGUAUGCAAGUAAAGGUAUGUAUGUAUGUAGAUGUGUAUUAUGCGUAUGCGAAGAUACGUAGGUAUAUAUGAAUGUAUGUAGAGAAGUAGUAAUGCAUGCGCGAAUGUAGAUAUGGGGUUGGUAUAGAAGAAGGUACGUAUGAGUAUAUGCAGGUAUGUAGAAAUAUAGGAGGACAUGUACGUAUGUAGACGCAUAUGUAUACAUGUAAACAUGUACAUGUGCAUGAUUUAGAUACGUAGAAUUUUAACGUUACUAAUUAUGCGUUUGAGGUUGGUAUGUGAUGCAGGAACAAGUACACCGGAUUCUUACGAAACUUAAACCGAACCCGGAAUAAGAGGAUGAGAAAGAAUAAUUGGAUGAAUUAAUGUUAAAUUGACGAACGUUAUUCAAUCUUUAAUUACAUGAGAUUAAUGUUAUAUGAUGUUGCCUUUGACUAAUGGUUAAGCUGUAUGUGAUGCCCACAGGUGUUACACGGACUUCUUCUGCUGCUAUGGAAGUGAAGCGGACGUAGAUCGAGUCAAGAGCAAGGAUUGUACGGAUAGAUUGGUCACAUAGUUGAAGUAUAUAACGUUUGGAAAUCUAAAUUUUAGUAUGAAUGUUGUAAAAUUCUUUUAUAGUACGUUUAACAUUUUUAGGAUUUGGAUCCUUCGUGAAAGAAAUGUUGUUAAUACGAAAGAAAAUUUUAAAGCUCUUUUUCCGCUGCGUUAUUUUUAAGGUUAAACGUGUUAGGGUGUAACAAGUUGGUAUCAGAGCCCUGGUUUGAGAGAAUCAAGUACAAGAGGAUAGGUACUUGAACUCGAACCUGUGUGCUCUUAUGACAAGAAACCCGUACAAUCCGAGACUCGACCAAGAUCUAAAGGUAGAAGCAAAGGUAAGUAUGUGCUUAAGUAUGUAUUGGAAGAUAACUAACUAUAUGUUAUGUGUAAGGUAAGCAUGGUUGCUUGGAAAGAAUGAUUUGUGGAUGCGGUCUAGCACCGACGCCAAGGCCAUGUUCAUUUGAACAAGGCAUUAUUGAAAGGAUGCGCAUAGGCGGGUGCUCAACAAAUCAAUGGAAGCAAUCAAUGAAAGCAUUACAUGAACCCAUGAAGAAACGGGCCGACUCGGGCCACAAACCGCUGGCAUACACGACGAAGUCAAGGAAUCACAUUAGCAAGGACUCGAAAACGGAAGGUUAACGGGUCAAGCAGAGGCGAGGAAACAAGCGUGAACACUAACGCUCGAGGUAAGUGACUUUCGAUUCACUUCUUAGUAUACAUAUAGAGUUUUCUUGUUAUGGUUGAAUGGGAUGAUUGAUGUAUAUAAAAUGGCCGACAAGUAGGUAUGUAUGAAUGCAUUUAGGAAAAUUACGUAAGUACAUGCACGUGUGAGCUAAGGUAUGCACGGGUGUAGUUAUCAUUCAUUUUAUGAAUGUAUGUAAGUAUGGAGUUAUGUAUGCAUGUAUGUAUAUAUGUAGGUAUUGGUGUAUGUAUGUACGUAAGUAGUUAUGUAUGAGCAUGAGCAUUAUGUAUUUGAAUAUGAAAGUACAUACGUGUGUAGGUACGAACGUAUAUAUAUAUGUGGAUGCAAGUAAGUAUGUAUGUAUGUAUGUAUGUGAGUAGGUAUGUGUGUAUGUAGUUAUGUAUGUAUGUAUGUAAAUACAUAUGCGAAGAUGUAAUCAUGUAUGUAUGUAAUUAGAUGCGUGGGUAUGCAAGUAAAGGUAUGUAUGUAUGUAGAUGUGUAUUAUGCGUAUGCGAAGAUACGUAGGUAUAUAUGAAUGUAUGUAGAGAAGUAGUAAUGCAUGCGCGAAUGUAGAUAUGGGGUUGGUAUAGAAGAAGGUACGUAUGAGUAUAUGCAGGUAUGUAGAAAUAUAGGAGGACAUGUACGUAUGUAGACGCAUAUGUAUACAUGUAAACAUGUACAUGUGCAUGAUUUAGAUACGUAGAAUUUUAACGUUACUAAUUAUGCGUUUGAGGUUGGUAUGUGAUGCAGGAACAAGUACACCGGAUUCUUACGAAACUUAAACCGAACCCGGAAUAAGAGGAUGAGAAAGAAUAAUUGGAUGAAUUAAUGUUAAAUUGACGAACGUUAUUCAAUCUUUAAUUACAUGAGAUUAAUGUUAUAUGAUGUUGCCUUUGACUAAUGGUUAAGUUGUAUGUGAUGCCCACAGGUGUUACACGGACUUCUUCUGCUGCUAUGGAAGUGAAGCGGACGUAGAUCGAGUCAAGAGCAAGGAUUGUACGAAUAGAUUGGUCACAUAGUUGAAGUAUAUAACGUUUGGAAAUCUAAAUUUUAGUAUGAAUGUUGUAAAAUUCUUUUAUAGUACGUUUAACAUUUUUAGGAUUUGGAUCCUUCGUGAAAGAAAUGUUGUUAAUACGGAAGAAAAUUUUAAAGCUCUUUUUCCGCUGCGUUA